UUCAGUUCAACUAACCUGACAUUCCAGUAACAAAAAAAAUUUAAAUAAAUAAAAAAAACCUAAAUGGAUGGAUGCUAUGACGAAAAGGCUAUUUUCUCGGCCAUAACGACUCGAGGGUUUCUAAGAAUAACCCUUCCUAGUUUCUAUAUUUGGAAAUGACUUCUAGGAAAAUAGAAACUGCCAGCUUCAUAUUCAGUUCCACGUGUUUAACUUCGCUCCCUUUUAAAGCAUAAGAAAAGCAUCGAGCAGCACGUGAGCGAUUUUUCAUACUGCCACCCAUUGAUGAUCAUUAAUAGACCGGAGAAUGUCCGCGAGGAAUUGGCGUGUGUUGCUGGAAAUGGCAUCUCCCCCUGCACGGCCCCUGCUUUACCUAGUAGCGUGACCAUGAAGCAAUGCACGAGCAGAGAGAUCUCAACAUGCACAGAGUCAGUCUGCUGCUCAUCUCACCAGCGGGAGCGCGUACAGCGUGCACUUAAAGAAAAAAUAUCUGAUUCCCAUCAGCCACAUGCUUCUUUCAACCCCACAGCGCGUCUUUAUUCAUUCGGGCUUCCAGCAACCAGCUGCACUUCAUGGCGAUAGAUAAAGAAAACCCCAUGCGCAAGGAGUUAAUAAGUCAAACAAAGGCAUAUGACUUCCAUAACUUCAUCGCUCAUUAACCGCUGAUGGUAGGACACAAUUGAGCGAGUGUUUGUGGAACUUGCCCUAGAUAUUCAGAUCUCAGUCCUUGGCUCUGGCUGUUGGGCAGAUCUUCUCCUGUUUCAGAUAUCUUCACCCUGCCUGACAACAGACCGUCAGGAGCUUCACAUGAGAGUCCCGUGUAAGGAGUGAACUAUGGGAGAGAAAGGCCAGUUAUGUCCAUUUAAAUCCCUUAACAAGCACCACAGCAAACAAAAGACAGAUUAGCAUGAUUUACCAUGACCGUAUUAUUAAAUUACCUCAUCUACACAUGAGCCAACAAUUGAGUUACUUUUAUAGAUGUGUGCAGACGGUAUUAUGCAGGCACUGUGUAGGCUAUUCUUUGUUCAUUAAUGGUUUGGUAAACCACAUUUUGUAAGGUCUUGAAUAGAGCUAGCACUGGUUAGACCCAAAAAUUGCACAUUCAGAGGUAUCUUUCAAAACCAAUAUUCCCUAUUAGCAUUAAAGCUAUGCAUGCUAGACAUUGUCUGGGUUUGACUGGGAUGGGAUCUCGUUUAAAAAGCAAUGCAUUUAUAAAAUAUAUUGAUUAUAUUAUGUUGUAUAUUUUAAAAUAACGCUGAUAACUCUCAAACAAUAAAGUGAAAACGAUCAAAAUCC